rnacentral:lncRNA from 1 species
CUUCUCCUCCAAAGGGAGCCUCAAAAAAGAAGUUCUCCAGUUCUCUCCACAUCCUCAAUAUUGACCAUGCUGCAGCUAAGUACCUACGAGUCGUCAGGAUCUUCCAUUACCACUAAAGCCCAAUAACCUAAGCAAGCAGGUGCUCAGGAUAGCAGACACAGACUGCCCCUUCUACCACGGCACUGACUGAGGCAGCUAAACACUUGGUACCAAGCACCUCCACAGCGCCUCAGCUUACAGUGCUAUCUUCUGGCUCUCUGGUGCAUAAUGCUGAGACAGUGGUACUGAAGUCUACAUCCUCGGCACCAAUCCUCCUGCACUGCAACAAUUCCGGUACCACAACAAUUCUCCUGAUACCACAACAAUUACCACCAAUGCCAUCUUCAGUACCGGGAUCUCUUGGAAUGCAGCAGUUUCUCCAACAUAAGGACUUAGUAGUUUGUGCAGCACCGGAAUCACCUCUUCUUGGUAGUGAUAUAGCAUCAGCACAUUCAGCAGUGAUCUUUGAUUAUCAGCAGUUCAAGAAGAAAAAUAACGUAUCAGUCAGAACUGCAGAUUAUAUGCAAAAACACCCGUAAAAUUGAAGAGCAAAUAAGAAAAGUGAAUAAAGAGUUAUAUAAUAUUGAAAUGACUUAUGGUGAAGGAAAAAUAAAACUGGAGGAAUUAGAAGAAAAAAUAAUUAGAGAAAAAAUCCGGUACAAGAAUUUGGAAGAGAACGUAAAAAAAUUAAUUCGAGAUGAAAGAGGAACAUGGCAACUGACUCAGGCCAGGAUUAAAGCAAUGUAUGGUGAGCUAGAGCAAAAGAAAAAAGAUAGCGUCAAGAUAAAAGAAGAAACUAUAAAGAAGAUAGCAGACAUUGAGGGACCAGUGGCUGAACUGGAAGCACAAUUUAUUGAAAAUAAAAAUAUGCAUAAAGAAAAUAUUGAGAAACUUUACAAUCUGAAUCAGAGGAUGCAAGAACUAGAUGAACAGAAGAAACAAGCAGAACAACAACUGGAGCACAAAAAGAGUACCAUGAAGAAUCAGUUAACUGAUAUACAGGAAAAAUAUACAGAUGUUACCAGUCGGCUAGAUGAAACCACUCACAUUAUUGAAAAUUUUCAAAACAGAAUUCAUGAAUUAAAUGAAUUAGCAGAGACAAAGCAAAAACAAAUUGAAACUACAGAGAAAUCCCUCGUAGAAUUGAGGGAAAAUUUUAGUGCUGUUAACUGUAAACAGGAGAAAAAUCAGAUGCUAAUUGAUUAUCUCCAGAAUGAAUUAGGAAAAUAUGAGAAGAGAAUACAGCAUGAGGAAAAAACAUAUGGAGAAUUACUAUGGACUAGACAGAAAAAUUUGGAAGAGAUGAAGGUGAGGACCAUUAGAACUGUUUUGUU